AUUGAACGCUGGCGGCAUGCCUUACACAUGCAAGUCGAACGGCAGCACGGGUGCUUGCACCUGGUGGCGAGUGGCGAACGGGUGAGUAAUACAUCGGAACAUGUCCUGUAGUGGGGGAUAGCCCGGCGAAAGCCGGAUUAAUACCGCAUACGAUCUACGGAUGAAAGCGGGGGACCUUCGGGCCUCGCGCUAUCGGGUUGGCCGAUGGCUGAUUAGCUAGUUGGUGGGGUAAAGGCCUACCACGGCGACGAUCAGUAGCUGGUCUGAGAGGACGACCAGCCACACUGGGACUGAGACACGGCCCAGACUCCUACGGGAGGCAGCAGUGGGGAAUUUUGGACAAUGGGCGAAAGCCUGAUCCAGCAAUGCCGCGUGUGUGAAGAAGGCCUUCGGGUUGUAAAGCACUUUUGUCCGGAAAGAAAUCCUUGGCUCUAAUACAGUCGGGGGAUGGCGGUACCGGAAGAAUAAGCACCGGCUAACUACGUG
rnacentral:rRNA from 1 species